UACGGAGGAUGCGAGCGUUAUCCGGAUUUAUUGGGUUUAAAGGGUGCGUAGGCGGACGCUUAAGUCAGCGGUAAAAUUGCGGGGCUCAACCUCGUCGAGCCGUCGAAACUGGGUGUCUUGAGUGGGCGAGAAGUACGCGGAAUGCGAGGUGUAGCGGUGAAAUGCAUAGAUAUCACGCAGAACUCCGAUUGCGAAGGCAGCGUACCGGCGCCCAACUGACGCUGAAGCACGAAGGCGUGGUAUCGAACAGG
rnacentral:rRNA from 1 species